rnacentral:rRNA from 1 species
GUCUACAGCCAUGCCACCCCGAACAAGCCCAAUCCCAUCUAAUCUCAGAAUGGUUAGUACUUGGAUGGGAGACCACUUAGGAAGACCAGGUGCUGUAGACA